CUGCUGCUGAAUAUGUCUGAAUAUGUCUGUAGUCCACCUGUGUCUGUUUUACUCAUCUGGUGCUGAUAACUCAGAGUCUGUUUUUGUUAUUUUCACCUGGAGUCACCUCCAAAUCCUGACCUGCUUCCGGUCUACAAAGAAUAAAUCACACAGAAAACCGAGAUUUAUGAGAAAUGGAAGGGAAAAGCGCUUUUUUGUUCUAAUUCCGAGGAGGCAAUGUGGUCAUUUUUCUUAUAUGGUUGAAGAAAAGCGGAGGAGGAGGCGGGUAGGUGGGUUGUUAGGUGAGGGAAGGGUGACGUCAGGUCCCAUCACGCUGACAGACCUCCUAUUGGUCCAGCGGAGGCUUUUAAAAGGUGCAGCCAGCAGCGCACCGGAGGCUUGAUCUCUGCGCUCAGGACGCGCCGCGGCUCUCCAUGCUCUCCAACCCGGAACGGAGCUCCGGACCGACCGGAGCCAGAUGUUGGUGAGGACGCGGCGCGGACAGGACCUUUCAUAUCAACAGGUCGACGCGCUAGAGAGAGACGGGAAAGCGUUUCCUCGUCCACCUGCACGCUGUGAGUAACUGUUAGCAUGUCGGCCAUCUGCCGCCUUGUCGUGGUUUUUUUUAAAUUCUCCACGCAUUGCAUUGUGAAGUGCUAGAAGUCAACCUACAUGUGUCUAUUUCUUUCCGAAUGUGAGACCUUCCUUUGCAAGUUUCCUCAAGUGUGAUGCCUGUUACGAGUCUGCAUGCAGGUGUGAAACCUGGCGUGCCCCGACUGCUUCAUUAGACGUACCACUUCGGCUGGUUUGUGUGAUUUUCCUCCUUUUUUUGUUUGCUGUUU